rnacentral:misc_RNA from 1 species
ACUAACCCCAACCCCUUUACAUGCCAACUUUAGGGUGGUUCUUCUAUCAACAAAAAUCAAAAGUGAGAAAUCCAUGAAUGAUGAUAACAACUGCAUUAAUUUGACAAUGAAAAACAAGGUACAUAAGCUGUUUAAGGCUUUUCCCGAGCUAUUUCUCAUAGAUAAGUUUACACUAGCGGUUAGCCAAUUUUCAAUAUAUAUUCAUCAAAUACGUAGUAUGAUACUCACCAGGUGAUUCCAUGCGCACUCAAUAAAUUUGACUAAUAGUUACCGACUGCCUCAGAUUUUAGC